rnacentral:tRNA from 1 species
GGAGAUUUAGCUCAGUGGUAGAGCUCUUGCCUAGCAAAUGCAAGGCCCUGGGUUCGGUCCCCAGCUCCG